UACAGAGGUCCCAAGCGUUGUUCGGAUUCACUGGGCGUAAAGGGUGCGUAGGUGGUUGAGUAAGUCUGAUGUGAAAUCUCCGAGCUCAACUCGGAAACUGCAUCGGAUACUAUUCAACUCGAGGGUUGGAGGGGGGACUGGAAUACUUGGUGUAGCAGUGAAAUGCGUAGAUAUCAAGUGGAACACCAGUGGCGAAGGCGAGUCCCUGGACAACUCCUGACACUGAGGCACGAAAGCUAGGGGAGCAAACGGG
rnacentral:rRNA from 1 species